rnacentral:rRNA from 1 species
GUAAGUUAAUUAAGAGCUUAAGACGGAUGCCUUGGGUGUAAAUGCUGAAGAAGGACGUGAAAGGCUGCGAGAAGUCACGAUGAGGAGCCUAUGACCAGUGAGUCGUGAAUGUCCGAAUGGGGGAACCUACUGACUACAAGUCAGAGCGCUAUGAUAGAUAGCGGAGCAAGUGAGGGAAUUGAAAUAUCUUAGUACCUUGAGGAGAAGAAAUCGAAGAGAUUCCCUGAGUAGAGACGAUCGGAAGGGGAAGAGUCUAAACCAUAUUAGAGUGAUAGGGCGGACCGUUUCUAAUGUGGUGUUGAGGGGUAUAUCUGGAGCUGCCGACAAGUUCAGCAUGAGGUUAAUGAUAGUAGAAUGGCAUGGGAAGGCCAACCAUAGGGGGUUAGAGUCCUGUAUAUAAAAUCAUUAACUAGUGUGGAGAUAUAAACCCGAGUAACGUCGAGACCGAGAACCUUGGCGUGAAUCUGGGGCGACCAUGCUCUAAGACUAAAUACAUUUACACACCGAUAGCGUAUAGUACUGUGAAGGAAAGGUGAAAAGAACCCCGGGAAGGGGAGUGAAAUAGAAACUGAAAUUUUAAGCUUACAAAUGAUUGGGAGCUCUGCAAGGAGUGACCAUGUACCUAUUGACGAAUGGGCCAACGAGUUAUUGUGUCUAGCGAGGUUAAGGCAGGAGAAGCUGAAGCCGAAGGGAAACCGAGUCUGAAUAGGGCGGGAGUUAGAUAUAAUAGACCCGAAACCAUAUGAGCUAUGCAUGGGCAGGAUGAAGGUAUGAGAGAUUGUACUGGAGGUCCGAACGGGUUGGAGCUGCAAGUCCUUCCGAUGACCUGUGUAUAGGAGUGAAAAGCUCAUCGAAUAUGGUGAUAGCUGGUUCUCCUCGAAAUAGCUAUGGGGCUAGCCCGUUAUGACGAACUUGUGAGGUAGAGCACUGGAAAGGCUAGGGGUGUCGAGAGGCAUUACCAAACCUUACUAAACUUCGAAUGCGCAAGGUAAGAUAGCGGAGUCAGACUGUGUGAGAUAAGUCUCACGGUCAAAAGGGAAACAUCCCAGACUCUUGACUAAGGUUCCGAAGAUAUGGCUAAGUGGAAAAGGAUGUUUUUCUGCUGAGACAUCCAGGAGGUUUGCUCAGAAGCAGCAAUCCUUUAAAGAGUGCGUAACAGCUCACUGGACGAGCGGAGAAGCGCCGAAGAUGAAAAGGAGCUAAGUCAUACACCGAAGUCGGAGAUUUAGUUGAAAAACUAGAUGGUAGAGGAGCGUUGUAUAUGGGGCGAAGCAUGAGCGGGAGCGAGUGUGGACUGUAUACAAGUGAAAAUGUUGGCAUGAGUAACGAAUUUUGAUGAAAAAUCAAAGCGCCGGAAGCCUAAGGAUUCCUACGCAACGGUAAUCGGCGUAGGGUUAGUCGGGACCUAAGGAUAAGUCGAAAGGCGAGGCCGAUGGAAACCAGGUUAAUAUUCCUGGACUUGUAUAUAGAAUGAAGCGGUGACACAUUGGGAUGGGUAUGAGCUUCUUAAGAAUUGGAGUUCUGAAGUCGAGACGAUCCUGCGCAAGUGGGAGGCUAUGUAUAGGAAAGACCGUACGUAGAGUAAGUAGAGACGGAGAUGAGGUACGCAAGUAUUUAAUCGUAUAGUUCUGAUGUCAAGAAAACCCGCUAAGUAUAUGUAUAUAUAACCCGUACCGAGAACAGACACAUGUAGGCAGGUAGAGAAUACCAAGGCGAACGGGAAAACUAGUGGAUAAGGAACUUGGCAAAAAAGCGGACGUAACUUCGGGAUAAGUCCUGCCUUGAGAAAUCAAGGUCGCAGCGAAAGUAAUGGGGGGGACUGUUUAUCAAAAACACAGCUCACUGCGAACACGAAAGUGGAAGUAUAGUGGGUGAUGCCUGUCCAGUACCAGAAUGUUAAGCCAGGAGGUGCAAGCUUCCGGGUGAAGCACUGGUAAACGACGGCCGUAACUAUGACGGUCCUAAGGUAGCGAAAUUCCUUGUCGGGUAAGUUCCGACCCGCAUGAAUGGCAUAACCAUCUCCAUACUGUCUUAUUCCUAGACCCGGUGAAAUUACAGUUCCGGUAAAAAUGCCGGAUAGAUGCGGUUAGACGGAAAGACCCUGUGAAGCUUUACUGUAGAUUGAUAUUGUGUCGGGGCAUAUGAUGCUCAGGAUAGGUGGGAGACUGUGAGCGUGGACUUUAGGGGCCAUGUGAGUCGACGGUGAGAUACCACCUAUUGUAUGUUUCGGCACUAACCUCUCGAAGAGGGGGACAGUGUUAGUUGGACAGUUUACCUGGGGCGGGUGCCUCCUAAAGAGUAACGGAGGCGCGCAAAGGUUAGCUUAUUACGGAUGGAAACCGUGAUGAAAGUGUAUUCGCACAAGCUAGCUUGACUGAGAGACUAACAGGUCGAACAGAUAGGAAACUAGGUGAAAGUGAUCCGGAUUUCCUGAAUGGAAGGGGAUCCGCUCAACGGAUAAAAGCUACUCCGGGGAUAACAGGCUAAUGGAGUCCAAGAGUCCACAUCGACGACUCCGUUUGGCACCUCGAUGUCGGCUCGUCGCAUCCUGGGGCUGAAGUAGGUCCCAAGGGUUGGGCUGUUCGCCCAUUAAAGCGGUACGCGAGCUGGGUUCAGAACGUCGUGAGACAGUUCGGCCCCUAUCUACCGUAUCCGAAGGCGACUUGAGAAGAUCUGUCCUUAGUACGAGAGGACCGGGAUGGACCAGCCACUGGUGAGUCAGUUGUACUGUCAAGUGCAGAGCUGAGUAGCUAAGCUGGGAAAGGAUAACCACUGAAUGCAUCUAAGUGGGAAACCAACUUCAAGAUAAGGUCGCCCAUCCGCGAGGAGUAAGGUCACUAGAAGACUACUAGAUAGAUAGGUAUCGUGUGUAAGCGUGGUAACAUGUUAAGCAGAGAUAUACUAAUAGACCGAGGAGCUUACUU